rnacentral:lncRNA from 1 species
CAGGAUGUUCUGCUCUGAUUGGCAGGGAGAGUUUGAAGGUGGGCUGGCAGAGACCGUGACCGCAACUGACUGCGUUCUGCAGAAUUAUGGUAAUGAAAUUGGAAUCCAACUUUCAUGAAGCAGAAAGCCUCAAG